AUGGACCACUCGUCCAUUGCGGUCUGGGCGCGCCGUCCGCCCCGCCUGACGCCUGCUUGCGCUGUGUUGUCAGCC
rfam:Xanthomonas oryzae pv. oryzae KACC10331, complete genome.